rnacentral:rRNA from 1 species
UACGGGGGGGCUAGCGUUGUUCGGAAUUACUGGGCGUAAAGGGCGCGUAGGCGGUCUACUAAGUUGGAUGUGAAAACUCUGGGCUUAACCCAGAGCCUGCAUUCAAAACUGAUAGGCUAGAGUUCUGGAGGGGAUAGGCGGAAUUCCUGGUGUAGCGGUGAAAUGCGUAGAUAUCAGGAGGAACACCGGUGGCGAAGGCGGCUAUCUGGCCCGGUACUGACGUGAGG